GACGAACGCUGGCGGCGUGCUUAACACAUGCAAGUCGAACGGUGAAGCCCCUUCGGGGGUGGAUCAGUGGCGAACGGGUGAGUAACACGUGAGCAACCUGCCCCUGACUUUGGGAUAACCCCGGGAAACCGGAGCUAAUACCGGAUACGACACGAACAGGCAUCUGUAUCGUGUGGAAAGAUUUAUCGGUCAGGGAUGGGCUCGCGGCCUAUCAGCUUGUUGGUGGGGUAAAGGCCCACCAAGGCGACGACGGGUAGCCGGCCUGAGAGGGCGACCGGCCACACUGGGACUGAGACACGGCCCAAACUCCUACGGGAGGCAGCAGUGGGGAAUAUUGCACAAUGGGGGAAACCCUGAUGCAGCGACGCCGCGUGAGUGAAGAAGUAUUUCGAUAUGUAAAGCUCUAUCAGCAGGGAAGAAAGAAAUGACGGUACCUGAAUAAGAAGCCCCGGCUAACUACGUGCCAGCAGCCGCGGUAA
rnacentral:rRNA from 1 species